rnacentral:misc_RNA from 1 species
UUGUUUGGGUAAAUAAAGUUUCGGUUUGAUUAGCUCGAAGUUAAACAUUAUGUUAACGAAAAGGUUGUAAAGCUAAAUAAAUCUGAAAAUGUCUUCCACUUUUCUUUUUCUUAUUGUUGUUUAUUUGUGUAUGCUCAUUAAUUUCAGCCAAACAGAAAAUUUUGAAGUUUUGUCGAGAACUGGAAGAAAUCUCUUAUCUCAGAUUAAGAAAUCAAACCAUACUCAUAAUGAAACAAAAGAAACAAAGAAUAUUCCUAGUUCUGUCAAGGAAGAAGAUUCCAUGGCUGGAACAGAAGCUGCGGUCCUCAUCAUCGUUGUCAUAGUCGUCCUUGCUGUCAUUGGUAUGGUUGUUUACUUCGUACGUAAAUUUGAUCAACUCAACAGAACACUACCAACUUAUAGGUACUCUUCAUUAAAAACAGAAAUUAAUGGAGUUUAUGGCCCAGAUGAUAAAACAGAGUCUCAAGCUUUAGUUAAUGUAUCUACGGAGGAAGAAGAUGAUUAUGAUGAUGAUGAAGAAGAAGAUGUUUCUCCGCCAACUUUGUUAGUGAGGUCUCAAACAGUUAUGUCCAAUAAAGCUGUAAAUGGCUCCAUACCUGUGCCCAUUGACAGAAGUUUAAUGUCAUCUGAAAUGACUGUGAGAUCCGAAGAUGCCACCAUUGAUUCUGAUGAUGAGCUUCUACAAUGAUGAAGUUUUUAUAUUUUGAAGUUCUGUUCUGGAAUUAGAAAUAUUUCUACAAAAUUAUAGGAGGAAUAUGUGCAUUAUUGAGUAUUUUGUAUUUCUGCCUUCAUUUCAAGAUAUGACAUAUUUACUGGAAGUAUUUAUAUCAAGUGAAAACUGUGUCAAGCUAUGUAAAUUCUAAAUAUACAGAUGAAAGUUUGAAAAAGAAGUAAAGGAACUCUAUUAUAAAAGUAAAAACUCUUCAAAUCAUGUUCUUACCAUGACAACUUUGAAUAUAGGAGGCCCUUCUUUCAAUUAAAGGAUAGAAAUAAACAUAGAGAGGAAGAAAUAAAUAAAAACCUAUGAACUCUUUAAAACAUCCUUCUCUUUUGGAGCUUUCAGAUUUAAAAAAAAAUCAUACUUUUAAAAAGUAUUAUAGGGUGUAGACUACUCCAGAUUUUUGUAAAAGACUGUUUGCUGAAUUUUAUUGGAAUUUCAUUUUCUUUCAAAAUUUUUGUGAAAAUUUGAAUUUCUUAUUUUUGCAUUGUUUCAGUGCAAACUUUUUUAAUUCUGCUAAUUUGGUUAAUAAUAGUAUUUGUAAUAACUUUUUUAAAUAUGUUAGAAUUCAAUUUUUCUACUAUUUAACUUCUAAGUUGGACCUCCUUUUUGUUAUCAAAAAGUUUAAUUUCUUUAAGAUUAUGAAUACUAAGAUAAAAAUAAACUAUUUCUGAUUUGUCUUUAUUGGUUUUAUUUAGACAGCUUAGGUAGAUGUUGCUACUUUUAUGAGAUUAUAAUUAUUGAAACUUUUAAUGUCAUCAAUUUAUCUAUAAUGUUCAGAUUUACUGAAAUCUUUAUCAGAAAGGCUUUUUAGGAAUUUAAAUUCUUUAGAAAAUAGAAACAAGUUACAAAAUAAAUUGAAUAGCACAUUUAAAAUUCAUUCCAUAUUCAGCACAGAAGGACAGUAGUAAACAAGAAAAACAGGGCGAAACAUACCAGAACCAAAAAUGACAUAAAUUAAAACUUUCUCUGCACCAUUGUCAAGGGGUUAGUGGAAAGCAGGGAUAAAUAGAAGGGCUAGGUCAUUCCUUUGUUCGACUCCUCGCGGACGCGAGUCUCAUGGAGGGGGGGGGAACCGGAAGUAAUCUGACGUGUCUCUGUUGCACCUGCUUUGAUUUCGCGCCUUUAAAACUGUAGUUUCAUUCAGUUGCGAGACGAUUUUCUGGAGAUAGCAUAUCCCAA